UGGCAUAUGGAGGUUCCCAGGCUAGGGGUCAAAUCGGAGCUACAGUUGCUGGCCUAUACCACAGCCACAGCAAUGCCAGAUCCAAGCCACAUUUGUGACCUACACCACAGCUCAUGGCAACACUGGAUCCUUAACCCACUGAGCGAGGCCAGGGAUUGAACCCACAACCUCGUGGUUCCUAGUUGGAUUCGUUUCCACUGUGUCACGACGGAAACUCUGCGGUGUCACUUAUUUUAAUGACACAUUUGUUAUAACCCAGUAUAUCCCAAAUACUCAACGUAAAGAAUUAUGAAGAUACUUUACCCUUUUUCAUGUAUAAAAUCUUUGUGUACUACAAAGUCAUUUUACACUUAGAGCCCAUCUUAAUUCAGACCCACCACGUUUCAAGUGCUUAGUAUGGCUAGUGGCCAUAUCUGUAUUUGGACAGUGCAGUUCUAGACUAUGGAAUCUGUAUAAAUUUGUCUUACACCUUAGGUCUUUUUUUUUUUUCUUUUUAAGUGUGGAAGUUCCCAGGCCAGGGAUUGAACCCAUGCCAGAGCAGUGACAACAAUGUGUCCUUAACCUGCUGAGCCACCGGGGAACUCCCUGAAGUACAUUCUCUUUGCUUAUCAGAUGAAGGAUCUGAAUCUUCCAUUGGCCCAACUAACCCUGCGCAUGUGGGAUUCCAGAGCAGAUCUGUGGACUAACAGCCCUUUAAAGCUGUUUCCAGCACAGAGCCCAUCCCCCUAAGGUCUUCUGAAAGCCGGCCUAGUCUUGGAGAGACCACAUCCAUGGUUGGUUGUUGUUUUGCCAACUAUAAGUAGCCAGUUUUCCCAAGUUGUCCUGAAGCAUCUUCCUUAGUAAUCAUGUGUAUAAUGAUUGAGUUCAAUAAGUAUUCCCAAAGACUUGCUCUACAUUUGGGCAAUAUCUUGAACUUCAUACACCUGCCUUAUAGUUUUACCACGAUGGUCCUAAUCUGCUAAAGGAGAACAACUUUGAACCAUCCUGUAGUAAUUCAUAACCUCUAAAGCAAAAAGGCAGUCUUGCAGUUCUGCUGCAGGGGAGCUGAGGAGUCUUUCAGAAUCCCCAUUCUGUCCUUCCCUGUUUUCCCUGAUAAUUUCAUUUCUCUGCUUGAUACACAGUAUCUGAAUUGAGAUUGAUGCCAAGCGCCGUCCUAAGCCGUUGCUGUCUUCUGACCUAUCUGGCUUUCCUAGAUGAAAGAGAGGUGAUUGGCUUGUGUUCCCAGUACAUGCUUAUCCUGCACAACAAGGAGCCAAAUCACUGUCUUCCCAGUAGCCUCGGGACAUGGAGACAUAUUUUGCUUUGGGUAUUUUUUUGUUUUCUUAGGGCUGCACCUGCAGAAUGUGGAGAUUCUCAGGCUAGGGGUUGAAUCAGAGCUACAGCUGCCAGCCUACACCAGUCACGGCAACUUGGAAUCUGAGCCGGAUCUGACCUACACCACAGCUCAUGGCAAUGCCGGAUCCUUAACCCACUGAGUAAGGCCAGGGAUAGAACCUGUGUCCUCACGGAUGCUAGUCAGAUUCAUUUCCACUGAGCCACGACAGGAACUCUCAGACAUAGUUAUUGAUGCCAAAGAGAAGCUGUGGGAUUUGGAGGGAGACUGCCGAUUCAGGAAUAAAAUAAAAGGACAGAAUCAUUCUCUCUCUCUAUUUUUUUGGUCACAUCCGAGGCAUGCUGAAGUUCUCGGGUCAGGGGUCAGUCCCUCGCAACAGCAGUAACUAGAGCCACAGCAGUGACAGCGCCAAAUCCUUAACCUGCUGAGCCACCAGGGAACUCCCCAUUUUCCCUCUCUCUUGGAUCAGAAAUCGUACCCACCAUAGAAAAUCCUGGGUCAUCUGAAGAAAAAUACAAGGCCAUUUACUCACUUUUGAUCAAAUUCUAUGUAUUUAUUUCUCAAGGCAAUCUGGGUGAGAGUUGGAUUCUGGAUAUAAGGAUUAAGAAGUGUGUUUGAAUCCUGGCUCACAAUGGCUAUAACUGUGGGUAAGCUUUCCUUCAUUUGUGUAAAUGGAGAUAAUAUUAAUGGAUCAGUCUGACCUCCAUUCCACUCUGUGAAAAAAAUGCAAAAUGUUCUUUCGGCUUACUGCAGUCUUUCUCAAAAGGAAUCAAGGUAGGCAGACCGGGUAGGGCAGGGAGACUUGUCAUCGUGAUUAGGGGACCCAGGCUCUUUUCAGCCGUCCUCAUUGUGUGGCUUCCUCACUAUCCACAAACCUGCUUGGCCUCCUGCCAUGAUCUUUUCAUCCCAGCCAGCAAAGAGGAGGAAGGCAUUAGAAAACUCUUGUUCCUACCUUUAGAAAACAUGGAAGUCCAUACAGUUUGGUUUAAUCUCUGGCCAGAAUUUUGUUUUGUGGCCAUACCUCAAGAGAGACGGGAAAUGAAAUCUUUGUUGCAGGUGGUCAUGUGCUCAGCUGAGAAUGGAGGUGCUUUAUUCAGGAAGAAAGAACAAAUGUUAGACUCACUUCAUUAAAAAAUAACCGCCUUGUAGGGUUAUUUUGAGAAAUAAGCCAGUGCAUGAAAAACGCUAGCCCAAAGCCUGCAUAUAGUAAGACACUAUUAAUUGGCAACUGUUACUAUUACAGUAAAUAAAGUUCAGUUCAUGUUGCCUCCAUAGAGCCUUUAUUAAUCCCUUCCUUUCAAAUAUUAUUUCUCUGAAUUCAUAGUAUUUUAUUCUUAUUUUCUUUUAUGACAUUUGUUACUGCCUAUUUUUGAUUAGUGUAUGUCUUAAGCUGUUUCUUAUCACAGAACUUGACGCUUUCUGUGAUAAGAAAACUUUGUCUCCAAAAGAUGCAGGGGAAUAAAAGCUCACAUAAAUUGAAAAAAGUGCGGUUGUGGGACAAAGGCCACGGCACUUUCCCUUUCCUUAGUUCUCUCAGCUCUUUCCUUAGUUCUCUUAGCUCUUUUCUCCCAUGUGUCAGUCUUCUGAGGCUGCCCUCCCUCAUGGCCACAAGAUGGAUGAAAGCAGCCCCUGAGGUUACAGGUUCCCUUGCUCAUUCAUAUCAAAAAGAAUAAAUCUUUAAACAUGAAGUCGCUAGCUUUACUCCGGACCACACUGAACCAAACACAGUGGGCAGAGGAAACCACACAGCAAGUGGCUGGGACCUGCCCGUUUGAUAUAGCAAGAGCAUGAGAUUCCCUAUUGUGGAGCUGGAGGCAAGGUUGGUCGCAUUAGGACCACGUGGUUACUCUAAAGGGUGGUUUUCCAAAGCAAAAUUGGAGGGCAUUGGGUGUUGGGUAGGUAACCAGUGAGAGCCAAAAGUGUAAGCCUACUGAACAAAUAUCAGGCCAUCAGCUUUGUUGUCUUGUUUUCCAUAGCACCUUGCACCGUGGGUCGAUCAGCAUGUACUGUCCAAUAUUUACUGAAUUCAAGAAAGAAUAAGUUUGACAACAAACUGGCUGGCUGGCUGGCAGAGGAAGCAAGUUCCACUGUAAUUUACCAGUCAGCACAUAGAAUAGUUGAUAGCAGAUCCUUUCCAUGACUUAGUGGCAUAAAGUGGUAGGGGACAGAGCAGGAAGGAGAUGGCAACACAAAAGGAAACAAGAGGGGGUGGCCUGGUGCAGUCACCCGUCCUUGAAUGAACAAGGAGAAGCUGGGCCCCCAGGAAAAGAGCCUCAGGAAGAUCCGUGCUCUGGGUCCACCCACCCACUCCCUCCUGUGGACUGCCUAGUACUGGCGGGGUUUUGUUGUUUUGAACAUUAUGGGCUUGGAUAUAACGAAGCCUUGUUCCCAAACAUAUUAUGAUUUUGAGUUGCCCUUUUAGCUUCUAUUCACAGAAAAGGUCUCUUGACACUCCAGGGUGGGGCAGGGGAUGGGGGAAACUGGGGUUUUCUGAUCUUUUUUUUUUUUUUAAUGGUUUAAUAAAAAAAAGAACUUCCUCGGCAGAUGGAAGUUCUAGGGCUGGGGAAUGAAUCCAAAAUGUAGCUGCGUCUGCAAAGCAGGGUCCUUUAAUCCACUUCACCGGGCCAGGAUCAAACCUGUCUGUCCACAGCGACCUGAACUGCUGCAGUUGGGUUCUUAACCCACUGCCACACGGGAGCUCAUGAUCUUUCCACUGCUCUGAAGUUGUUUCUACCAGAGCUUCCACCCUGCCAGACUUUGGUGAGAAACCUACACUGCUUGCUGUCUCUUACUACCUCUUCUGAUUCUCCUGUACCAGCAGGUGAGCAGGUUCUCAUUGUUAGAGUGGUAUGCAUUUCACUUCUAGCAGGAAACACUAAUCUCAUCCAAACCUCCUCUGAAAUGCCUACCCUUGUCCCAACUACUGGGCAGGAAAUUUGAUCCCUCAUAGAUGGCAGCCCCAAACUACCUCCCUCUCUGUUCAUGAUGUCUUGGGAGUUUUAGCCAGUGGAAAACCACUACCCUUCCUCACCGUUUAAGACUUGACCAUUAUAGCGGAGGCUCCAUCCUCACCAAGAUAACAGAAAUGCUCACUUGGGUCACUACCUACUACCAACCAAGCAAUGCUCUGAUUGGUCCUCUUCCUAACUGGCUUUUCAGCCUUGGUUACCACCAGGGUGCUCUCCGCUGGCUCUCCUCCCCUCUCUGACUGUACCUUCUCACUAGUCAGUGGCAUGGAGGCAGAUGACCUUUAAAGUCACUGUCCCGAGGGCUUUGACCUCUUCCCCUGAACAUUCCAGAGCUAAUGGGGUGACCUCUCCAGCCCCUCCCAUGAGGCAUGUCUUCUUCCUGAGCCCUGGGCCCAAAUUUCCACUUAGACAUCCUGAACUGAGUUCCAUGUUGGCUCCCUCUGCCUGGGCCCCCUCCUCCCUGCCUUCACCUAGUCUUCUGGGUCAGUGCUCCCUCAGUCCCCGUUAGUCCCUGAAUUCCAUCACUUGUGGCAGCACUUGGACCUCAGAUCAGGCUCUCGUUGCUCCUCGUCAGGACUUGUGCCCUGCCUCUGAUGGGCAGCACUGCCUGCAACCUCUCCACACCCAAGCUUCUCCUCAGUGCUGCCAGGGGCCUCAGACACACCUCUUCCCGUCGCUACUGGACCCCAGCCAGGCUCCUGCACUGCCCGGUCUGACCUGCUCUCCUACCUCACUCCCCAUCCCCACACCCAUGGCCUGUGCUCCAACCUCGAUGAAGGUCCUGCUUUUAGAAUUUUCUGGGCCUUUUUGCACCCUAAGGCCGUGGCACAGAAUGCUUCCCUCCCUCCCACCUUCUCUUCCAGGAUACUCUGGAGUCCAAGGCAGGAGGCUCAACUAUUUUAAGGAAGGUCCCUUCAGCAGUCUGCUUGGAGGGGCGAUCUGGCUGUGGACUCACCUUCUUCAAUGUCCUGGAGGCCUCUCAGCCCAGAGGCUACCUUAUGGACUCUUGUCUUCCCAGCACCUAUUAUGUUCCUAGCAGGGAGCAGCUCCUUGAGUGUCCCAAAGCCAAAGCCCAUUUUCAUCGGCAGGAAUUCAGCCUGGACAAGAUGUUUCCCUGUCUCCAAUUCUAUUACCCCAUC
rnacentral:lncRNA from 1 species